rnacentral:snRNA from 1 species
GUGCUUGCUUCAGCAGCACAUAUACUAAAACUGGAACGAUACAGAAAAAAUUGGCAUGGCCCCUGCGCAAGGAUGACAGGCAAAUUUGUGAAGCGUUACAUAUUAAA